GGAGUGGUGCUCGAGUGGCUGAAGAGGCACGCCUGGAAAGCGUGUAUACGCCAAAAGCGUAUCCCGGGUUCGAAUCCCGGCCACUCCG
rnacentral:tRNA from 1 species